UACGUAGGGUGCAAGCGUUAUCCGGAUUUAUUGGGCGUAAAGGGCUCGUAGGCGGUUCGUCGCGUCCGGUGUGAAAGUCCAUCGCUUAACGGUGGAUCCGCGCCGGGUACGGGCGGGCUUGAGCGCGGUAGGGGAGACUGGAAUUCCCGGUGUAACGGUGGAAUGUGUAGAUAUCGGGAAGAACACCAAUGGCGAAGGCAGGUCUCUGGGCCGUUACUGACGCUGGGGCUCGAAAGCGUGGGGAGCAAACAGG
rnacentral:rRNA from 1 species